CCGAAUCAUUGGAACGGACGUAGUAAGUAAUUCAAUUACAAAAACGAAUUCGAAAGGUGGCAGCAAUCAAUCGGAUCGGAUUUAAUUGGAAUUCGCAUAAAUAAUUUCACUGAAUGAUCUCAAUGUUCCCAUGAUCUUUUUUCAAUUUUAUGAUCUUUAUUUAUUUAUUGAUCUGUGUGUGUGUGUUAUACAUUAUGUUUUCGAUCCACGGCCAACCGUGAUGAUAAACUCUCGUGAUAACGUGCGCGGAGAGAACGUCUUAUUGUACUCGUUUUAUUUAUAAAAUAAAUAUCGCGGCAAACAAUGCGAAAUUAUCAAUCGCGACCACACCGCACAUCUCUUGCCUCUCUUUCUCUCAUCCUCCUCCAUCUUAAAGCUCUUAAUGCAACAAAAAGGUUGUCGACCCUUCGACCGAGCGUAGAGAUAGACGACAGCGUUUACAUUCCUAAUCUCCUCUCGCUGCCUCUGCUUCCUACUCCACCACCACCACCAGAGAGUUCAGCGCUUAUUUUUUUCGCUUCUUCCUCCAGCAGCUCCGCAAUCUACACCUACUUCUUAUCAAAAAGCCUGUUUGCUGCUGCUGCUGCUGUUCCUGCAGCUACAACAAAUAGCUAAGGCUUCCUCCAUCAACGCUCUAAAAUUACGCAAUUGCGCACGUCCAUCGUUAUUUUGGACUCGGCACAUUAGCGAAAUUUAACAACAUAUUCGCAGCAUCCAAGGAAACGUUUUUAUAUCAAAUAGAAAUAAAAAAAAAUGUAUGAGAGAAGUAACGUUUGCCAAAAGCGUCACGAGAUGAGGAGCACCACCUGCACGCGCCUUCGACUAUCAAGAUACCAAACGAAUAGAAAUACAUAUUAAUGCGCGUACGAUUUAUAUUUUUACGACAGAAAUCAAGGACGAGCAUUAUUGUAAAUUUAAAUCGAGCAAAAACGUUUUUAUUUUUCGGUUUCGAUUUCGGUUAAAAUUGGAUUCUCGCAGACUGGAGAGUACCGGAAUGCGUGGCAUUCCGAUGCGAUUUUCUGAAUCACCUUCGACGAUGAAGAGAUGUAGAUGGGGAGACAGAGAUGAAGAGGAGUUGAAAUCCUUAGGAUUCGUAAAUAAAUCUGAAUUCGUAUAUAGUGUUUAGAUUAAAUUAAGUUCGCCUAGAAUUCAGUGACAAAAAUUAACUUUGGAAAAGGAAAAUUGAAUCCGGAAAAUACUAUUCAUUCAAAUAUCGUUAAAAUAUGAAUGAGUAUUCUAGAAAGUUAUUUGCCCAGGCUUAUAGUAUUUGCCUGGCAAAAGUUUCCCUUGAAUUAACAAUUACCCAACAGAUAUAUUUGAAGAAUUAUGCGUGUGCCGAUGGUGGUUUUUCUUUAUUUCUGAGAGACCGAUCGGAAUGUGGAAAAUGUGCAUUAUUUUUAUUUAUCCUCUUUGGCCGUUGUUGCCGUUCUUUCCUCUCUUUUUUUCUGCGCCGAUCCGGAGCUGGGUAUAAAUAUAGCGAGUGCCACGACUAUAUCUGUCUCUCUCUCUCUAUAUAUAUAUAAAUAUCCAUCUCUCUUCACCUCUCUGCAUAUCUCAUGUAACUAUCUCUCUCUCCCUCGACGAAGAUAAUUGAGUAACUCUAGCCUGGUGUGUGUGUGCAGUUUUGCGACGAGAAGAGAAAGAUGCAUGGGUGGCAGCAGCAGGGCACGGAUGAUGGCGGCGUGCGCUCCGCAAGAAAGCCGUUUCUCUAUUUAACAUAAAGCCCGAGUUGCAUAUAUACCAGAGGACGAUUUCCGUUUCCAAUAGCCUUUUUAAAGUUUUGAUGAUGAUGAUGUGGUGGUAUGUUUGAUAGCUUCUGGAGGUGAAGAGAAUAACAGCCACCCCGCAGGAUAAGCCUCAACAUCCUGUUUCUUAUUUAUUUUUUUAUAUUGAUACACUCAAUUUACUCCGGGUUGAUUAUUACGUCGUCCGAUUUAUUAUAAUCGGUUAACUACUUAUUUGCUAUUUAUAGGUUUCCAGCUCGCCGUGGCGGAAAAUGCAAGGAGCUGCAGCUAUGUGCAACAGAGAGUUCAACAUCAUCCCCGAUAAUUAGCUUUAAUUAAUACCAGAUUAAUACCAAAGCAGUGUUCUCCUCCACUCCACUCAUCAGCUCUUUCCUCAAUGUCUUCUCUUCCAUCGAACCGUUAAGGCGUUUCGAUACACAUGCUCUCCUCCGCACAGAGAAACACAAUACAUUAGUCACACAAAUUGGUUACGAGAGUAUCGAAUUCGCCAACGCAAAAGUGUUGGAUAUCGAGACAUGGCAAUAAUAACUCGGUGAGAACAUUGCGUGCUUCGCACUAUUUGUCAACAUCCUUCAAGGACUUUUUUUCCACAUUGGAACGCAAUAGUAGUAAACAGCAAGUUUUUGGCCAAGAAAAAAAAUCAAAAUGCGAAUGAAUCAUUUCGAAAUACAAAUUUGAAACUAAUAAAACGAGAGAAGGACGAAUGUAACCGAAACGAAACAAAAAAAAAUGAAGACGGGGUAGAUGUUUAACAAAAAAAAAAAAGGAUCUCCUCGAAGGAUAAAAAUAUUGCAAGCAACUUGUAUAACAGGUUCGUGCUGAGGCCGCAUGCAACAUAUACACAUAUUCGAGACUCCUCAACAUACAAGACGCCUGAAUAUGUGCAGUUUCAUGUAAAUAAUCCUUCGGCUCAUGGAAAGAAGAAAUCCCAUAUCAUUAGAAACGUCUCGAUUUUCCCGACCACGAUACAACACGAUUAUAGCAACAACAACAACAAAAAUAGUCGUAAGGAAGAAAUUGGAAAAACAUGUGCGAAUCCAACUGCGAAAUUCGGAAACGCGUUUCCUCAUCGCCACGAGCACAGUUUGCGCCAAGAGGGCGUGUAUUUUUGGCUACCGAAAAUAGAGAGAAGAAAGAAAAAAGUAAGGAAGAGAUAGAGAAGACGCAAUGAGUAAGGAAUAAAAAAAAAUGUGUGAGGAAUGAAUGUUUCGUGAUUUACUGCCGACAGUUAAAUCACACAUGGCUUCGCAACAUCAUCGGGAUAUUUCCUCAUUCAAAAAGCGCAUCUCUUCGCAACAAUAAUCCUGUAAUUGAAGUCAGCCGCUCUAAAUAUAUACAUUUUGCAGAAGGCAGCACGCGCGACCAACCGCACUUCUUCGUCGUCCACUCUUCUCCGUUCUCCUCUCGGCGCUUCGUCGCUCAUUCAAAUUCUAAAAAUAUUUUCGGUGCGAGAAACACGAAUAAGAAUGGAAAUUAAUUGCUGUUUAGCUUAGGUCAGGAUGAAGGCGUCCCCGAAAAUAGAAUGAUUUAGGAUAGGUUAGUUACCCUUACCACAGACAGAGAGAGACGCUGCGUUUUUUUAAUAGAUCAUUGUGCAAUGGAACGACAACGCAAGGACAACAAACACUAUUUAAUAACAAGUAAUCUCUUAUGCAAAAAGCGUACAUUAAUCAUUGCGUUAAAAGUUCUUUCUUUGCACUCAUAAAAUAUAUAAUAUAGCAAAAUUCAAAAAAAGUUUAAUUUUGAAAAAAAAUGUUUGUACACACAUCAUCGAAUUUAGAACGUAAACCUUCUUUUUUAAUUAAAUUCCGUAUGUUUGCCUGCUGUGCGGAUUAUUUGCGUAAUUAGCUUAAUUAGGGUAUAAGUAUACGGUUUAAGUUGGCUCUAACGAGGACGUCCGAUGUGGUGGGGUUGGCACGACUUGGGGGAGUGAAUAUGGGGCAUUUCGUAACGAUUCGCGCAAAGUUAUUGAGAUGCAGAAGAAAGUGUGCGUUCUCGUGUACCAUCCCCGGAGAACAAAUCCCAUUAGGGAAUACAAACAACACACAGUCACAGCUUUUUCUUCUUCAUGCGCAAGUACUUGAAAUAAUUACAAGCAAGGAUGGAUCAGACACAACGCCACGAGAUGAUUUCAUUCUGAAAGUAACGACUUCAUGAAUUAACGAUGAUCAUAGUUGUGUUAAUGAUGAUUGCAACGAGAAGUUUGAUGUCUACAUCGGCGUUUCCCAACAUAUUUGUUUUUAGUUAUACCAAUUGCAUAUAAAAUAAAUUUGAUGUAAAGUGACAGCUGUCAUUUUGAA